GACGAACGCUGGCGGCGUGCUUAACACAUGCAAGUCGAACGGAAAGGCCCUGCUUUUGUGGGGUGCUCGAGUGGCGAACGGGUGCGUAACACGUGAGUAACCUGCCCUUGACUUUGGGAUAACUUCAGGAAACUGGGGCUAAUACCGGAUAGGAGAUCCUCCUGCAUGGUGGGGGUUGGAAAGUUUCGGCGGUUGGGGAUGGACUCGCGGCUUAUCAGCUUGUUGGUGGGGUAGUGGCUUACCCAGGCUUUGACGGGUAGCCGGCCUGAGAGGGUGACCGGCGACAUUAGGACUGAGAUACGGCCCAGAGUCCUACGUGAGGCAGCAGUGGGGAAUAUUGCACAAUGGGCGGGAGCCUGAUGCAGCAACGCCGCGUGCGUGAUGACGGCCUGCGGGUUGUAAACCGCUUUCGCCUGUUACGAAGCGGGAGUGACGGUAAUGGGUAAAGAAGCACCGGCUAACUACGUG
rnacentral:rRNA from 1 species